GACGAACGCUGGCGGCGUGCCUAAUACAUGCAAGUCGAACGAUCAAACUUGGUGCUUGCUCCUGUUGCGUUAGUGGCGGACGGGUGAGUAAUACGUGGAUAACCUGCCCUUAACUCUGGGAUAAGCUUGGGAAACCGGAUCUAAUACUGGAUAAUACAUUUCACCGCAUGGUUCUAUAUUGAAAGGGUGUUUUUGUUUUUCUUUUAGAUGACGCCCUGCCGCCUUAUCUGGUUGGUAAGGUAACGGCUUACCAAGGCGACGAUGCGUAGCCGACCUGAUAGGGUGAUCGGCCACACUGGAACGGAGACACGGUCCAGACUCCUACGGGAGGCAGCAGUAGGGAAUCUUCCGCAAUGGGCGAAAGCCUGACGGAGCAACGCCGCGUGAGUGAUGAAGGUCUUCGGAUCGUAAAACUCUGUUAUUAGGGAAGAACAAAUGUGUAAGUAACUAUGCACGUCUUGACGGUACCUGAUCAGAAAGCCACGGCUAACUACGUG
rnacentral:rRNA from 1 species